rnacentral:rRNA from 1 species
GACCUGAGCUCAGGCAAGAUUACCCGCUGAACUUAAGCAUAUCAAUAACC